rnacentral:rRNA from 1 species
AUACGUAGGGGGCGAGCGUUGUCCGGAAUUACUGGGCGUAAAGGGCGUGUAGGCGGCCUGUUAAGUCAGGCGUGAAAACCCCGGGCUUAACCUGGGGACUGCGUUUGAAACUGGCGGGCUUGAGGGCAGGAGAGGAAAGUGGAAUUCCCGGUGUAGCGGUGAUAUGCGUAGAUACCGGGAGGAACACCAGUGGCGAAGGCGGCUUUCUGGACUGCACCUGACGCUGAGGCGCGAAAGCCAGGGGAGCGAACGGGAUUAGAUACCCCGGUAGUCCUGGCCGUAAACGAUGGGUACUAGGUGUGGGAGGUUUCGACUCCUUCCGUGCCGGAGUUAACACAAUAAGUACCCCGCCUGGGGAGUACGGCCGCAAGGCUGAA